GACGCCCCCCGAUUCCUGGAAAGAGCGGCAGGGGGAGCGGCCCGGCCCGGCCCGUCUCGGUCUGGUGUGCAGGAGUUGUGGCGGCCGCACGCCGCGAUGGGUCGCGUCGCUCCUCCGGAGUGCCACGGCGUAUUCUGCUUACGAUCAAAGUUCCCGCGCGUGGCGAGCAGAGCGCCGUGCGGUUUUGUGUCUGCGGCGCGAAGCGAGGCCUGGGCGCGGCGGGACCUCAGCCGUGCGGUGAAGGUCGCGGCUGCGGGUCGGGAGCGGCCUGUGGGGAGCGAAAGCAAAAGCAAAGCCAGGCCGGGCAGGAGGAGCCUUGCGCUGAGGGACGGGCGGCCUGCGGACCGCGCCUGGCCGGCUCUCCAGGCAUAGGGGCAGCUGCUGCCGUCGGUCUGAGCUCGCAAGUUUGAGGCCGCUGCUGAGAGCCGAACGAGAUGUGGAAGACCCCGUAGGUCCCGAGGGGAAAGUCAGCGACUGCCCCCUCCUCUCACAACGUUUCACAACUAAAUCAAAAGUCAUCGUGCAGCAGAAGAGGGUGAAAGGAGAUAACGACAGAAGGGGAGGAGCGGGGCUGUGUCCUUUCACAGACCGGGCAGUGAAUGCGAGGGAAUGGGACCUGCAGUGGAUCAGCAGAGAUUCUGAGAACUGAAGGCCUCACCAGAGUGAACAGAAUCAGUGGGUUACAGUGUAUGAGCACAAAGUCUUACUAGCCACUCUCUUACUCCUCCCUGUCCCUGACCUCAAGGUACAGAACCUUCUACCGUGUCCCUCAUCUUCAUGCAGGAUCUUCUUCCCUUUUUGUUGCUGGAGGACAACAUGAACUCCUCCUGCUAACUCCUGGACCUUUCUUUAGUCCAUCUUUCUGAGCUAUGAGGCCAGCAGAAGCUCCCGUGUAUCCUGCUCUCUGUGGGACAACACCCAUUGCAAUGGGCAGGGGCUGGGUCCCUCUGUGUGAAGAAGCGGCAGAGGAGAACUAGCUAGAAGGGCUGGAAAGGCAUACUGGGGAACCUCCUGCUAUGAUAAGAGCAGUAACUGCUUUUGUAUACCAACCAAAUGGAAACUGAAAACUCUAUAAUAAAACCAACAGUAAGUGACUUUCAGAUCAGAAAACAGGUUUGCAAGACACAGUUUGUGAGCACAUCAUGGAAUGCAAACUGCCUCACAUUUUUGGGGGUCAGAGGAGGAAGCCAUCCCUCCCAUCUACAAAGAUCAGCUUGGGUGAGAAGCCAAGGCUCUAAAAACAGCUCCUAUACAUGACACUAUUAAAACAUGUUCCUCGGUUUCAUAUGGAUAUCGAGGAUGCAAAUGGGUUUGGAAUAGGUUUGUCAGUCAGUAAGAGAAAUGAAGAGUCGCAUCUUCCCUUUGAGCCCAAGAAACAGUGAGACAUAAUGAGCUUUUUUCUAUUUGAAGAAGUUUUAUUAUUACUUUCUAAGCUUUCAAAAUUUUUUGGAGAAUCUGAGUAAAAUGUUAGAGGCUUUCUACAGUAGUUUUUAUGGGUUGAGUGUCUAAUUAUUUCUCAGUUCUCUUCUAAGUUUCACAGAUAGGAAUCUCAACUCAUAGAAAGAUUAAACCCACAACAUGCUCUGUCUUGCACUGGAGUUCCCCAGGCCUGAGCUGGGAGCUCAACCUUGUGCUGCAUGGAAAUGCAUGAAGGAAGGUAUGUACAAAAACCAAGCAGGAGCCAUCCUGGCUGCUUAGCCAAACUGCACCAGAACCUAACAAGUCCAUAAGGGAGCUGUCUGCUUUCACUAAGAGCUGUCAGUUGGGAACUCUGGAAAUACACAGCCCCUUGCUAGGCCAGGUCUGCCUUUCCAAAGGAAAUGACAUGCAGGUAGUCCCCCUGUUCCCCAUACUCUUGUCUGGCCAACAGGCACACGUUUAGAGAACUCCUCUGGGGAGCCGACAGCUGUUCUGAAGUACUCCGUGUAUUCAAAAUACCAACUUUGAAGAACACACCUGCAGUGCAAGCACUAGAAAAUUGGAGGUUAUAGGGUGGGCCUCUUUCAGGAUUCUGCAUUUGUGAAAGUAGCUACUUAGAUACCUGAGUCUCUACUGAGAGUAAUAGUGAUGAAACUCGUAUUACAAGUCUCCACUGUCCUUUAUGGAGUUGUUAUAUGAUCUCAAGGUACCCACUGGACUGGCUCCUGUAGAUAAGAAAGGUAGGUUGAUUGCAAAUUUGAAAAUGUGGCUUGGAUAUUAGCAGCUCUGAAGCUCCAGUGAGGUCAGCAGGAACAACACAUAGAAACAAAAAAGAUUUUUUUUUUAAGUGGCUAAAACCAUUUUUUUUUUAAUACUAAAGCAUUUAAUUUUCAAAAUAUUUGUCUUUUUUUUUUUUUGAGAUUCCUUCAUAUGCGUAUAAAAGAGACUUUAUUUUUAGCUAAAAAUCUAUAUAAGCCUCUUCAUUUGGGGUCAAAGCAUUCUUUUUAUAAUUUGAAAUUGUUGGGUUUCCUAUACUUUGGUUUUCUGAUCCUUUUCAGAUCUGUGUUCUAAGGAAACCAAGUUCCAGGCUAGGACAGCAUAGUAAAACAAAGACCCAGCCAUCUCUGGCCAUCUGGGUGACUUGGACUGUAGCAGAAGUAAGGACUUGAACGAGAUCUUCUGCCAAAAUGCCUCUGGGAGAGAUGAAUUCUGCUACAGAUUUCCUAUCACUCUGAAUGGAUAUUUUAUUGCCACCUGACUUUAAAGCAAGCAUUUAGCCUCUUCCUUUAUCUAAAAUUGGCCAGGUGAACUGUACUCCAGAAGUGCCUAAUGUGCUCCAUAAAGGAAAAGGCAACCCAGGUGACCAACAUAGACUGACACUAUGAUGUCGUAUGUAAAGACAGGUGAGAUGAAUCCCACCACUGUGUGAUGUUCCGGACAGGGAAGGCAGAAUUGCUUAAAAAGAAUGAAACAAAUCUGGAAUUCAGGCUUUAUGAAACAUGUCAGUGUGUAACAGGGGCUGCUUUCUGUAAUAAAUACCUCCUGUUUCGUUUUGAGCGCGAUUCCAUCUGUCUAGCAAUCCCUAAUUAUCAGGUCUGACUCUUACCCAGCUGGAACGCUUUUUCCUCAGCACUGUGGGGGGAGUGCUGACUUCCAUUACAGUAACAAUAAACUCCCAGAGCACCUAGAGAGAGGUGGACUUCAGAGAUUUUAUUCUUAGAGCGUCAUGGAUAAAUCUUGAAUCCAUUGAAGUCAAUGAAAAACUCAAACCAACUUCUGCUGGGCUAGGAUUUCUCCCUGGGUCUCGAGUGAACAGGGGAAUUGGCAUCCUGAAGAGAUUUUUGAAGACUGUGUAUCUACGUGUCAAACUCUGUUUCCCAUUUAAUUCUGAUUUUAUACUGCAGAGAUAUAGAAGUUCCGAGAAGCUUUCAGGCUUUCAGUCAGAAUGAGGCUAUUGAAAAACAUGACCUUUUCUUCAAAAGCCACUACCUGCAGUGGCUGUUGACUGCCACUGUGAAUACUGACCUCACAGCAGAGUACUAGACAUCACUGAACAGCACAGGGUGUUGUGUUCUUUACAAUCACAUAGAGAAUAUAUUUAAAUUCCUAUUGCCUCUGAGGGGAAAUUGCCAUCUCUCAAGGCUUACAGCACCCCUGAAGAAAGACCUACUUUUAGUAACUCCUGAGGUCAUAACUGGUUGCAUCUGUAGUCACUGGAAUUCACAGUAGUGUCACGUGUGUCCGUAUGCACCUUAAAAGUUAAUACUUUUGCAUGUGCAGUGUGUACUCAGACUGCUGCUUCAAGCUGAGAUGCCCUUUUAAGUCAUUCUCUUGAUUCCUAAGCCCUCACAUAAAUCUCUUUAGAUUGAUGGGCAAAUAAAUUUACAGCCUGCAAUAUCAGAUUAGUGAGCUGGAUGCUAGAAGACAGGUAUUAGGUUUGCUGCAAGAAACUGCAGCCACUCAGCUAAAACAAUCCUGUCAGAAAUAUACUUCCAUAAGAAUUUUUGAGUCUGUUAAUUAGACUUACCAACGCUCACAUUAGCAGGACUUUCAAGUCAAUAACAAUCCUCCACUAAGUAUGGAUCUGUAGUGUGAAUAAAAGCAAAACCUGGGCCUUCUUUUGUAAUAAUCAGUGUUUAGUGCAUAAAGAGGCCAUUAAGGCCAUUAUGCCGUAGCUGCGUUAAAAGCACAACCUUGCUUCUGAAGCUCCUGCAGCAAAUAAUGGCUGUCCCAGUCUUAUCUCCUCCAGGAGCAGUUGGCCUCUGUCAGAAAGUGCUGACCUUCUACAGAACAAAAAAAAAAAAGCUGCAAUGAAAAACAAUACCCUUUUCUAUUUACUGAGCACUUCCUGGUUUUGUACCGCUGUCUUUAUCAGGUCGGCAACAUGAGAAUGUGUAUUGUUCCCUUCUCAAAACUGGGAAAACUGAUGCAAAAAAAUAUGUUUUGGCUCCUGAUUCACAUUCAGAUCAACGUCAAAACAGAUGUUCAGGACUUGUUGACCUUUCUUUUUUUUUUUCAAACGUUAAUUCUUUAUGGAUCUUUUAAAUCAGAUAUGAUUCAAAAAUGCUUUCGGCAAACCUGUGAAAAUGGUGAGAAGUAUGUAACGUACACUGACAGGUACUAGGCUGACAUAGCCAACUCUGUAACUGUGUGGUAAAACAGAACUGAACUGGCUAGGGAAAAGUUUCUUAAUGAGUUACUUUUCAUAUUUGCAGCAGGGAGCACCCAAAACAACUGAGGGUGUGCGCAGGAACAGAGGUGGGAGGCAAAGAAGGUAUCUGCAUAAGCCACUACUGCUGAUGAAGGAGAUGAGAAUUCAUCUCAGACUGUUGCCUCAUUAUCCCAGGGUUCAGAGUCAACAUUAAGUACCUGUUGGAUCAGGUCCUGAAGCACAGGGUGGAACUAAAAUUGUACCCAAAAAUAACAACCAGCUAUCCCUAAUCUAACUCUCCAAGACGUUCCUGCAUGUGAACUUGGUGACUGUACACCCAAGGGACAGUCUGUUCCCAUAUAUCCUGUGAUUUCUGGAUGUCAGAAUUAGGCAACGCUUGGAAAAGAUUAGUUGAAACAUUUGUUUGAAGGAGCAUCUACUUUGACUCAGUUUGUGUGCAAACUGAAACACAGAAAUUACUCUUUAAAUCUAGUUUUAGGUUAUGUUCAGUGGCUCAGCUGUAACCUGACUAUGGUUAGAUAGGAAAGAAAACUCUCACAUCACAAGAAGCUAAGUGUAAAAGUCAGGACAUGAUCUAAUGAGUUUUUUGCAUUCCUUAGUUCUAAGGUGCACUGAAAUAAAAAAGCCUAAAAAGGACAUAAAGGGCAAAGAGGCAUAUCAUUAGCUAUAUAUGCUUCCUUUUUUUCCUGAAUCCUGAAAGAAAAAUAACAAGGUGUAAAUGCUUUCGUGUUUAUAAAUGUAAAUAAUGCUAUUCCAGUUGUCAACCUGUGCUUAGUGAAGCUAAUAGUGACCUCAGCUAUAUAAAUUAAACGUGCAAAUCACUUUAUACAAUAUGGCCAUGUGUAAUAAAUGGGUCUCACUUAUUAUGUUUUAUCACAAGAGCCCACCAGAAUGUAAGUUUGUAUCAUAUAUAAACAAUGAGAUUUACUGUAGCUAGGCUGUAUGUUAUCUGAAAGUAGAGCUCAGGAUCCAGUUAUCACCAGAUUUUCCUGUAUUUUGAUCAAAAUUAUUCUUCAAGACCAACAGCACUUUAAAUUCAAAAAGCAUAUUAUCCAUUACAUGCAAUUAAGAGCACCUUCAGGUCCUAAAGGGAAGAGUGCACUCCUUUCACACCUCCCCUCACUUUUGGAAGUGCAGCUUUCCUGUAACAUGAGAAUCGCAUUUUGGCCUACCAACAUAAUCUGUUUAUGGUUGUCUAUGGUUGUUUAAAGUGAAAAUUGAUUCUCUAAAUGUAACAUGUGGUUUAUUCUUGCGAAGGUCAGUAGUGAGCAUAGAUUGGUUACAAAGACUCAUAUCUAAUUAAACAUGUUUUCUCAGGUUUUACUAACUUCUGUGCAGGCAGAUGCUCGCAUCUCCAGCAGGGAGGCCAAACCUCUGAUGACGAUUCUCUUCUUCUGGUCAAAAUGUCAUCUCCAGCAUCUGCUACCUGACCCUAACUGCAGAAGAGCUUUAUUCGCUGGAACAGCAGUUUUUUCCAACUCAUGCAAGAGGCUUUUCUCCAGAAUGGGCUUUUAUUUAAAGAAAACUCUCAGAGAAUUCUUACCACUUGGAUUCUAACAUAGCAUCUCCACAGAGCAAGGAGGCUUAUAAAGAAGAUGUAAUACUUGUGGGAAAUUUGUGUCAUCGUAAAGCAGUACAGGAAUGAGGGGAGGAGUGUGUGUGAACUGUUUAUAGUUGCUGUUUUGAUGCUAAAUUAUUAUUUUGCUGUUGGAAAUUCUUUUUGUUGAUGUAAGUUGUGAAGUUUAGGUGAUGAAUCUUCAUAAAGGUACAUUUUCAUAGUAAUGUAAAUAAUGUUUCAGCAUAUUUCUAUCAUGAGUUUUUGAACACCCAUGUCUCACACUGGUGUCACCUUCAGUGGAUGGCAAAUUCUGAGACACUUCUGUCUAAGCUUUUAAUGAAAAUAAACUAUUUUAUUUAAAAUACUAGAUUGUUUUUCAUUAUUAGAUAAACCCUAAGAAGGGGAUUAAAAAAAUCUGUGUCUAAGUUGUAAAGACCUUCUGUUGCUCAUGCUGAAGAAUUAAUUCUUACAAGAAAACAGAAUACUGUAGGGUAUCACCAGAUUUAUGAAAACAGUAACAAAGUAAAUUUCUGUGAUACUGGAGAACAUCCAGAUCAACUGCGGUACGGUUUUCCCGAAGGCUAGAAAGCCACAUGUGAAUUGAAAGUUAUUAGUUAAAAAUAAGGUACUGUAAAUUAUAUUUUACUUUUCUAGAUUACUGAUAGCACAGGGUAAUCACCCACCAAAAGCUGCGUCAUCUGACCAGUCUGACUCAAAGGAGAGAGAUUUUUUCAUUCAUUUUACUAGGAUGUAAAUUCCAUUCUCGGUAAAAGAGCCCCUCCACAAAACAAAACAAAACAAAACAAAAACACCACCACCACCACAACAAAACACACCUCACCCACGACUCCAGACACCAUCAUUGUUAUCAGAACAUUAUAAUUUCACAUUAGCUCUUCAAUAUCACAGCAUGGUAGAAGCCCUGGUGUUCACAAUGAAGGGUCACCAAACUACAGUCCUUCAUUACACGUGACUCACAAACCUUACACGUGCAGGUGCCAUGCUGAGGAGAUAUAAAAAGACUCAAGAGUGAGGCACCACUGGUACACGGCCUGCUGAUGAGUCCCACUCCCCAAAGGUGGGAAGAGGCAAGAAAACAGGUGGUGUCUGCAGUCACUGCCAUCAGCUCUUCUAGGUCUCAGCUUCACACCUGAUCCAGCCCCAGCAGUCUCAAGACCACUGUGAGACUAUUCCUAGCACUUCUCUCCUCUUGGCUUCCCAAGGAUAAGGUAGGAGUAUGAUUGCUCUCAAACAUUUGAAGAGGUUGAUAGGUAUCCAAGUGUCAAGAACGUUGUCUGCACUUGUUGCAGAUGUUUCAGAGAUAAAGCAAGAAGUAUUCCCUUCUGUGCGACUUCACACAACCCACACGUUAUAUAUACGUGGAAAAUAUGGAUCGUUUUAUGUAGUUAAAUGUGCUUAUGCUAGCCUUAGUUGGGUAAACUUACUCAUUCCCCAAGGACAUUAUUUGCAAAUUCAAUGUUCUGGAAAGGCAUGGAUAUCAAAAAUAAAUUUAUCUUGAAUUAAGAGGGUUUUUGUUUUGUUUUUUUAAAACAAAUGAAGGACAGGCUUCCUGAUGAUUUCAAACUGUUGCAAAGUUUUAACAAUGCAAUAAUUUCAAAUUAAUUCUGAGUAUUUCUUUAAGAGACAGCAGAAGUUCCCUUGAAUUUAGUUUUUCUUCACAACAGAAGCCAUAACUGUUCUGAUCCUUCAGCAGUGCUAACAACUAGAAAGAGCAACUGCUUUGGCACUACCUGCAGCACUUACACCCUUCUGGGCCAGUCUGCCCAGGCUUUAGUUACUCUGUAAAGUCUUCCUGACAGUAUACAGACACAACCAAAGGCUCCCGAAACAGGUUUUCCACCUUGCACUAAGGAGUCUUAAAAGGUGCCAGUUUUCAAACACGAGUUAAACCUGAUAAUGAGAUGUAACAAUUGCUAGAAUUCAGUUUACCCAGUAUGUAAAAGCACUACGUAAAACAAGAUGGAGUGCCCAAACCCAAGCAGCAAGUUGAAAACAGGCAGGUCAUGUUAUCUUACAUGGGAACACUUUCCAUCUCUCUUCUUUGGGCUAAGACACUGUGCAGCCAGGUAUGCAAGAUGUAGAGCAACCAGCAACUACAGCAUCUAUUCAUGAAGCAGCAGGAAUGGGAUUCCACACCUGCCUCCAAGGCUGUUUGAAAACAGCACAUCCACCUCAGCUUGGUCUCCUCUGAAAUCAUGACCUAGGAGAGAAGACAGAGUUAAUUUUGCUUACUGUUCUGCUGCCCCCAUCAAUAUUGUCACAUUCGAUGCAAGCUAACCAGGAGGUAUGAAGAGUGCUUUCCCUCUGUGUGCUCCAUGGCUUAGGGAUGAAGACUCUCUCCUAGGAUGCAGAUGCUGGGGCUAUAACUCAAUCCAGCCAAGCAGGGUACAGCUCCUCACCCUCCUGCUGUGGUGAUAAGCAACUUCACCGCCAAGAUCCUACACAAAGAACACUAACAGCAUUCACUGGGAUUUCCUCCUGUUCUCCCAGCAUUAACAAUGGCACCAGAAACUGGAUUUCCUAGGAGGCUUCUAGAAGAAAGCAAACUACCUUCAAGGAAAGACAUAUGUGACACAGGAGGAACUGAGUCUCUUUUUCAUGCCAUUACAGGCACCUAUGUCUCUCCACUGACUGCACAGAAGAGGUAGAAAUUUAUGUUCAUUCGCUCCCUGUUAAGAUAUCCCAACUUCACUGUAGGCAUUGCCCAAGGUAGGCAAAUUGACUGGACUCACAAUGCUUUGAACAAGACUGUUCUGAAUGGAAGACUGCUCAAAAGAAAGCAGAGAAAAUAAAUGAUUCGUAACUGAAUGACUCUAUGUAAUGUUUAGCAACUACUUAAAAAAAAUAAAGGGGGAGAGAUAUCUUCAUUGGGCACUAGAGUGAAAAAAACACCUUUUAAAAGUACUGGGGGGAUGAGGAGGGG